CUUGUCCCCAUACGGUCACCGAAGUUAAGCAACGCCGAGCCUGAUCAGUACCUAGGUGAGUGACAGCUCGGGAAUACCAAGUGCUGCA